UCGUCGUCGCUGUCCGAAAUGCGGUGCACUCUUUCGUGGUACGCGUCAGCGUCGGUUCGCAGCGGGCGAUAAGGCCUUGUGGAAGGUAGCUAGGGGCUUGCCCCUAGUGUUAUAGACGCAGGAGCUGGGCUCGCUACGGACCGAGGAGAGAGAGUAUCGUUGCAGCGCAUGCCGCAAGGCUAGCUACCUGCCGUCUGUCUCGCUUCACAGACUGAGGACUGCACGCAGUGCUCGGACUGGCGGAGUGGUCCGGCGGUGGAGUGGUAUAAAUGCGCUCAGGACGCUGGCGUCCAAAUGGCCGUGC
rnacentral:rRNA from 1 species